rnacentral:lncRNA from 1 species
CUUGGGAUCUGGGAUGUGCCUGGGAUCCUGGAUGUACCUGGAAUCCUGGAUUCCUUGGGAUCUGGGAUGUGCCUGGGAUCCAGGAUUCCUUGGGAUCUGGGAUUUCCUUGGGAUCUGGGAUGUACCUGGGAUCUGGGAUGAACCUGGGAUCCUGGAUGUACCUGGAAUCCUGGAUUCCUUGGGAUCCAGGAUUCCUUGGGAUCUGGGAUUUCCUUGGGAUCCGGGAUUUCCCUGGUUUCCAGGAUUCUUUGGGAUCUGGGAUUUCCUUGGGAUCUGGGAUGUACCUGGGAUCCAGGAUUUCCCUGCGAUCCAGGAUUCCUUGGGAUCUGGGUUGUCCCUGGGAUCCUGGAUGUACCUGGAAUCCUGGAUUCCUUGGGAUCUGGGAUUUCCUUGGGAUCUGGGAUGUACCUGGGAUCCAGGAUUUCCCUGUGGUCCAGGAUGUACCUGGGAUCCCAGAUUUUCCUGGGAUCCAGGAUUUCCCUAGGAUCCCAGAUUUCCCUGUGGUCUAGGAUGUACCUGGGAUUCUGGAUGUACCCGAGAUCCCAGAUUUCCCUAGGAUCUAGGAUCUCCCUGAGAUCCCAGAUUUCCCUGUGCUCCAGGAUUCCCCCUGUGCUUCCCUGCUCCCACCUGAGCACGCUCACAUGGAAUCUCAUCUUCCCUGUGUCCGUGGCAUCCAGCUCAGAUUCUUCCCAGAUCGCUGUGACAGAGCUUGGAAUUUCUAAUGCCACAUCCUGAUUUUUUUUCCUUUUUUCCCCCUUUUCUCUUUUUUUUUUUUUUUUUUUUUAGGUUUUUUUUCCAAUUUUUUUUCCCCAAUUCAGUCAUUUCUUGAGCUUUCCCAGCCCAAAGCCACAAAUCCAUCAGGAUUUUUUUUUUUUCUCCCAGGAGAAGCCUGAACCUGUGGUGUGCUGUCGGGAAGAUUUUAAAGGAGCACAGGGAUCUGCACCCCAGGCUGGGCUCUCCCAGCCUGUGCCAUCAGGGUGUCCAAAUUUUACCCCAAAUCCAGGUUUUAUCCCAAUGACAAGGACAUCAUUCUCCACACAGGGAAUAAUAUAUAUCCAAAUCCCUAAUUCUCAGUACGGGGAGGAAAUCCCAGCCUCCUGUCCUUUCCCUCCAUCCUCCCCACGAGGAAAAGCAGAGUAGAGCUUUUUGCUUGCUGCCCUGGUGAGGAAUUCAGGAUUCCCUCCCCUCCUUCCUCACCUCCCCGCCCUCCUCAGGUAAGUGUGGAGCUCCAGGAUGGGCUCUGCAUGUGCCAGGCCCACCUCUGGGAGGGAGAAUUUGGGGGGGGUGGCUGCUUUUUUGGGGGCAUUUCAGGCAAAAUCAGCACGGGGGGAGCCCGGACUGAGCCAAUUCCAGCGUGGAGCUGCUGGGCAGAUCCCAAAGUUUUCGGGGGGCAGGGCCGGUGCCCGUCGUUCCCCCCCUCGCUGCUGAGGCAUCUCCUGGUGGGGAAGGAGCAGCUGUGGCAGCAGAAUGGCUGCUCUGGGGGCUGGGGUUGGGAUUUUCCCCUCAGGAAUUCCAAGGCCAAGGCGCCGUUCCCAGCAGGAGGGUCCCGGGGUGCCCCUGGAGCUGCUCCCCCUCCGUCUCCUGCUCCGCUGGGAGCGCCUCCAGGCUGCUGCGGUUAAAAGGAUGCUGUCAAUGCCCUCCUGUAGAUGGCUUUUAAUCCCUCAUAUUUAUUCAAAUCCUCUGUAGCGCUGUGGAUUCUCCCCCUCUCCUCGGGCGCCUUCGUUUCCGGAACUUUCUCCAGGUUUCAGGGUGGCGGAAGGCGGUGGUGGCGGACUGGACGGGUCACCCGGCGAUCACAGGAUUUGCACAACUCUGGGAAAAUAAAAGACAAAACACUUUUGUUUAGUUCCUACCG